ACGCUAGCGAUAGGCUUAACACAUGCAAGUCGAGGGGCAGCAUGGUCUUAGCUUGCUAAGACUGAUGGCGACCGGCGCACGGGUGCGUAACGCGUAUGCAACUUGCCUCACAGAGGGGGAUAACCCGUCGAAAGACGGACUAAUACCGCGUACACUCCACUUUGGGCAUCCAAAGUAGAGGAAAUGAAAUUCGCUGUGAGAUAGGCAUGCGUCCCAUUAGCUAGUUGGUGAGGUAACGGCUCACCAAGGCGACGAUGGGUAGGGGAACUGAGAGGUUGAACCCCCACACUGGUACUGAGACACGGACCAGACUCCUACGGGAGGCAGCAGUGGGGAAUAUUGGUCGAUGGGCGAGAGCCUGAACCAGCCAAGUCGCGUGAAGGAUGACUGUCUUAUGGAUUGUAAACUUCUUUUAUACGGGAAUAACAAGAGCCACGUGUGGCUCCCUGCAUGUACCGUAUGAAUAAGCAUCGGCUAACUCCGUGCCAGCAGCCGCGGUAAUACGGAGGAUGCGAGCGUUAUCCGGAUUUAUUGGGUUUAAAGGGUGCGUAGGCGGCCUGUUAAGUCAGCGGUGAAAUCUAGGAGCUUAACUCCUAAAUUGCCAUUGAUACUGGCGGGCUUGAGUGUAGAUGAGGUAGGCGGAAUGCGUGGUGUAGCGGUGGAAUGCAUAGAUAUCACGCAGAACUCCGAUUGCGAAGGCAGCUUACUAAGGUACAACUGACGCUGAAGCACGAAAGCGUGGGUAUCAAACAGGAUUAGAUACCCUGGUAGUCCACGCAGUAAACGAUGAUAACUGGGCGUAUGCGAUAUACAGUAUGCUCCUAAGCGAAAGCGUUAAGUUAUCCACCUGGGGAGUACGCCGGCAACGGUGAAACUCAAAGGAAUUGACGGGGGCCCGCACAAGCGGAGGAACAUGUGGU
rnacentral:rRNA from 1 species